rnacentral:rRNA from 1 species
AUGCUCCUACGGGACGCAGCAGUGAGGAAUAUUGGUCAAUGGCCGAGAGGCUGAACCAGCCACGUCGCGUGAGGGAAGACGGCCCUACGGGUUGUAAACCUCUUUUGUCGGGGAGCAAAGCGAACCACGUGUGGUUCAUUGAGAGUACCCGAAGAAAAAGCAUCGGCUAACUCCGUGCCAGCAGCCGCGGUAAUACGGAGGAUGCGAGCGUUAUCAGGAUUUAUUGGGUUUAAAGGGUGCGCAGGCGGAG